ACGCACUUAGCAUUUAGGCUUAUUCCACACACCAACAAAAGAUUCUUCCACCAUCAGAAUUUUGGUAAAUUUUAAUCUCUAUCCAAUUGCACACACUCCUUACAUGACCAAUCUUUACUUGCUCCCCAAUUCAUCUUACCCACUAUAAAAAUGCACCUAUAAAGAGAAAACUUGCUUCUGCAUUUCAAGCUUCAUAGCAAAUAGCUCAGAAGCUUAAAACAUGAAAAACUCAUGAAAACUUCCAUCUUCUCCAUAAAAUAAAUCAGCCACCAUCCUCCAUUAAAACCAUGUAAAAAGCUCCUUGAAACUCCAUAAAAUGCCAAAAGAAGCUGCUCAAAAACGACUUCCAAAGCCACCCCAUUUCAGCUCCAAAAACGAGCUGAGAACUGUCCAUAAACCAGCUCCAAACCACCCCAAAAUCAUCUCCAAAAUGCUGCCAAAAAACCAGCAGUUUUCUCCCAAAUACGACUUCAAAUCUCAGCCUAAAACCAGUCCAAAAGUCCUUGUGACAGCAGCUCUUUUGCACAAUAAUCAGCAGCAACACCAUCUCCAACAAACCUCUUAAACCAUCGUGAAACAGCUGCGGAAAAAUAGCGAAAGAAGCAGCUGUAAAACAGCCAUGAAAGCGGCCCAAAUUACCAGGAAAAUGCAGCCAUAAACUUUCCAAAACACCAUAAAAACAUUGCCAUGUGAACCCAUAAAACCCAGCUUCCGAAAGCGCCUCAAAACAGCUUGUUUCCACCAUUGUUGCAGCUUGUUUGGAGUUCGAAAUUGAGAGGUCCGUUUGAGUCAGAAGUUUUCCGGUCGAGGUUUUGUUUGCGGUUUCGGUUCCAGGUCCGGUGCUUUUGUCGGGUUGCGGUUUUCCUCUUCAUUUUGUACAUUGCUCAAGAUUGUUGAAUCAGUUUUUGGAAGAAAAAUUCUCAAAGGUGCAUUUCAAUUACAUCAUGCGUAUUUAAUCCACUGAAUAUCUUAUGCUUCAUUGUUGGAUUGUUUGUCGAGCUAAUGAAUAGCUUCUGUUUAUUUAAGCUUUCAAAUGCAUAUUUGGCUUAGUUUACCCGAUGCUCAUGGAAUUUUGCUUUAAAUGCUAAUGUUAAAUGUUUAUUGACUUUAAUGACAGAUAUUGGGUUGUUUUUCUUACUUUGGUAAUUGGGGUUGGCUGAAAAUCUGGCAAUUAAUUUAGCCUUAGCAGGCCAUUUGGGAGAUAGUUAGAUAAUAAAAUUGGGCCAUUAAGGUUAAUAACCAAUGAGUGGGUCAUCUUACUGUUUGCUUAGCUUUCAUUUCAUUAGCUGUUGAGUUUUUCUUAUUGGUUUCUUGUUUUAAUUAGAAAACUUAUUAAUUUACAUGUUAAAAAAUAUUGUGUUGGGUUUAAUUAGACUUAGAGGAGGAAGAUUUGGGCAGAUGGGUUUUGAAAUUGAAAAAGAAGUCAAAAGUGGAUUUGAGAUUUUUCUUUUUGGGCUCCAUUAAGUUGAACCAUGUCAGGCCCAAUUGAUAAGAGCUAUAGGUAGCCCAAUCUUAGUAAACGCAUUUAACUGGCCCAUUUACACCCUUCUCCACGAAUUCAUUCUAUAACUCUUGAGCCUCACAACAAUCUCAGAUUCAGAGAAAAAUAAUUCAAGAACAUCGUAGCUUGCUUUAGGGAUUAAUAAAUCAUCGUGACUAUGGGUACGGUUCCCGUGGCAUAGUCACGAUACAUAACUCUAAAUUCAAGUACGCGUUUCACGCGACUUGACCCUAACUUCAAAUAAUAAAAUAAACAUGUUGUAAAUCGCAGGUGCAUUUCACGUGGCGCGGUUUGCAAUGUGUACCAAAACUAUAAGUGUACAAAAUCGUAACUUGUUCAAAAAAUAAUUCCAUAAAUACUAAAAGCAGUUAAAAUAAAUUAAAAGCGGUAAAUGCACAAUAGGUUUAAAACAUGUAAUAACCCAGAUAAUUAGGCCAAUUAUUAAUAGUUGAGCGACCGUGCUAAAGCCACGGAACUCGGGAGUGCCUCACACCUUCUCCCGGGUUAACAGAAUUCCUUAUCUUGUCUUCUGUGUUCGCGGACCAAAAGUAGAGUCAUUUUCCUUGAUUUGGAAUUUUAAAAUAAAUCGGUGACUUGGGACACCAUAAUAAUUAUUUCAAGUGGCGACUCUGAAUUAAAUAAAUAAUCUCAUUUCGAAUAAUGUCACUUUAAUUGGAAAAACUCCCUUUCCUUCAGAAAAAAGGAGGUGUGACAGGUACCAUCAGGUAAGGGUUAAAGAGACAGAUAUUCCGAAUACAACAUUCAGGACCAGAUACGGACACUUUGAGUUUCGUGUUAUGUCGUUCGAUUUGACCAAUGCCCCAGCAGUAUUCAUGGACUUGAUGAACCAUUUGUUCAGGCUCUUUCUAGAUCUAUUCGUGAUUGUAUUUAUAGAUGAUAUUUUGGUUUAUUACCGUUCAAAGGCUAAGCAUGCAGAUCAUUUGCGUAUUGUGCUCAGAGUUCUACUAAAAAGGAAGUUGUACGCAAAAUUCUCUAAAUGUGAAUUCUGGUUGAAUUUUGUAACUUUCCUUGGGCAUAUUAUUUCAGGUAAGGGUACCCGGAUUGAUACACAAAAAAUCGAGGAAGUGAAGACUUGGCCUAGACCCACGACACCGAUGGAGGUUCGUAGCUUCCUGUGUUUGGCAGGUUAUUACAUGAGAUUUGUAGAGGACUUUUCUUAUCUUUCAGCACCAUUGACAAAGUUGACUCAGAAGGCAACUAAGUUUCAGUAGACUAAUGCUUGUGAGCACAGUUUCCAGGCAUUGAAGGAUAGAUUGACUUCAGCACCGGUUCUGACACUUCCAGAGGGAACCGAUGGUUAUGCUAGCUAUUAUAAUACUUCAGGCGUUGGAUUGGGUUGUGUAUUGAUGUAGCAUGGUAUGGUUGCCGCUUAUGCUUCUAGGCAACUAAGGAAGCAUGAGAAGAAUUACCCGACCCAUAAUUUAGAGUUAGCCGUGGUGAUUCAUGCACUGACGAUGUGAAGGCACUAUUUGUAUGGCAUACAUGUUAAUAUCUACUCGGAUCAUAAGAGCCUUCAGUAUAUCUUCAAGAAAAAGGAAUUGAAUUUACGUCGGAGGCGAUGGUUGGAGCUACUGAAAGACUAUGAUGUUGAUAUUUUACACCAUCCAGGGAAGACGCCCUAAUUCGUAGAUCUUUGGGUAGCCUAUCAUAUUUACAACCAGAGAAGAGUGAGAUAGCCUGUGAGAUUUAUCAGCUAGCUAGUCGUGCAGUUCAAUUACUGGAUUCGGGUGAUACCAGAGUUACUAUUUAGGACACGAUAACAUCCUCUUUAGUAACUGAAGUGAAGGAACGCCAGCAUAAGGAUCAUGUGCUAGCUCAUUACAGGGAUACAUCCCCUUAAAAGGAGAAGACACCAUUUGAGAUUACAGGAGAUGGAGUCCUUAGAUAUCGAGGUCAAUUAUGUGUUCCUAAUGUGGCAGGACUGCACCGGCAGGCUAUGGGAGAAACUCAUUAUUCUCGUUAUUCUGUUCAUCCAGGAGCGAUGAAAAUGUAUCAUGAUAUCAGGAAAAUAUACUGGUGGGAUAAAAUCAAGAAGGAUAUAGCAGAGUUUGUUGCUCAGUCCGGUAAUUGUCAGCAGGUUAAGAUUGAGCAUCAGAAAGCUGGUGGAUUAUUGCAGGCUAUAGAGAUUCUGACUUGGAAAUGGGAAGUAAUUAAUAUGGAUUUCAUCAUAGGAUUACCUCGUGCCCAGCGCAAGUUCGAUUCUAUAUGCGUGAUUGUUGAUAGACUUACAAAAUCAACCCAUUUUCUUAUUGUCAGGACUACAUAUUUAGCAGAGGAUUAUGCAAGGGUUUACAUUAAGGAGAUAGUACGACUUCAUGGUAUCCCUAUAUCUGUUAUCUCAGAUAGAGGUGCUCAGUUUACAGCUAAUUCUGGAGGUCCUUCCAAAAGGAAUUGGGGACUCAGGUAAGUCUUAGUACAACAUUUCAUUCCCAGACAAACGGUCAGGUUGAGCGUACUAUUCAGACACUGGAGGAUAUGCUACGGGCUUGUGUGAUAGAAUUCAGGGGUAGCUGGGAUGAUCAUCUUCCUCUUAUCGAGUUCGCAUUUAAUAAUUAGUUAUCAUUCCAUCAUUCAGAUGGCUCCAUAUGAAGUUCUUUACGGACGGAAGUGUAGGUCAUCUAUCGGAUGGUUCAAUGUUGGGGAAACUAAGUUAGUAGGACCAGAGUUGGUACAAUAGGUAGUUGAGAAGAUUAAGCUUAUAAGGGAAAGGCUAUUAGCAACUCAGAGUCGUCAGAAGUCCUAUGCAGAUAAUCGACGAUGAGACUUGGAGUUUUAGGUAGACGACUGGGUAUUCCUAAAGGUAUCACCGAUGAAAGGCGUUAUGAGAUUCGGUAAGAAAGGAAAUCUUAGCCCUCGGUACAUUGGACCUUAUAAGAUUAUUCGUAGAGUAGGCCAUGUAGCAUAUGAGUUAGACUUGCCUUCCAACUUGGAGUCUGUACAUCCAGUCUUUCAUGUGUCUAUGCUCUGUAAGUGUAUCAGAGAUUCGUUUAGAGUCGUUCCAGUUGAUGAUGUUCAGGUCACAGAGCAACUAUCAUAUGAGGAAUAUCCCAUUCCGAUACGAGAUAGACAUGUCCGGAGAUUGAGAACUAAGGACGUAGCUUCAGUUAAAGUACUUUGGAGAAAUAAGAAUGUGGAGGAGAUGACUUGGGAAGCUGAAGAAGACAUGAAGUCUAGGUAUCCUUACUUGUUUCCGCUUCUGGAGGAGGAACCGACUGAGACAUCACAACCUUUAGGUGCAUAUACGAUACUGGAUUCUUAUGUUAGUUAUUGUCGUUGGUCGUGUGAGGCCAUUGGUGUUAUUGAUGAUUGUGGCCCUGUAUGGCUUUGUAUUGUUGGGUUUGCUACAUGACAGGUUGGUAGUAGUACCAUUACAGAGGAGACUUUUCUAAUAUUUCUAUAUAUCUUUGAGAGUUUAACAUUCGAGGAUGAAUGUUUCUAAGGGGGGAAGAUUGUUACAUCCUGUGCGUGCCAAGAUGACGUAUAAUGAAUAUGAGACUUGUUAGUCAUGAUUUAAAUGAGUCUAAAAUCAUAAUAUGACUAUAUAUGAUGUUUGGAUAUAAAAUAUAUAGUUUGGGAAAAAUCUAAUUUAAGUUGCGAAAAAUCCGACAAAAGAUUUGCCUUGUAAUUAAGCUUUUUGAGCAAUAUAUUUCGUGUGUUAUAUGAGGUAUUCUUGGGGAUAUAUUUUACACCAAAUUGAAGGUCUUCGAAUGCAGUUUCCAACACUCUUAACCGUUACAGUGACCAUGACCAAAUAAGACCUAUAAACUUACCCUUAAGCUUUCAACAAGGGUUUCAAAAAGGAUUAACAUCUCGGGUACAAAAUCAAGAAGCGAUAACAUUAGAACGAUACCUAUGAUAUAAGUAUCAUUAUACCGCCUCUCGUUUUCUUUGUAGUUUGUAUUUUGGAAGGUACUUCAUAGUUAAAUAAAUGCCUACUUUCUUUAUUUAAGCUUUUAAAUCUCAAGGAAGGUUGAUAAAUUCGUUUCCCAAUAGUUAGGACUCACGGGAUGGUGAUCGGAAGCUGUGAGUUCGAUUUAUUCCACUUGUAGUGGAUUGUUUUGUAGUCCACUAAUGUUGGCCUCUUGUGCUACCAAUUUAUGGAGUUUUGAAGGAUGAAAGGCGUGGAGAAACGCCAAAUGUGGUAGGAUAGUGGGCUGGUCGCGCGUCGUUGCAAUUUCAGGCUAAUUAAUAACUUGUUCAUUGGGUGUGUUAUGGUAUAUUUGGGCUUUUUGCUGUAUUAAAGGUCCCUAAUUGUAGUUAGGUUGUUUUUGAGUUAUUGAUUGUAUUGUGUUGUUGUCUUGCCUAUAGUAGGCUUGAGGAAGUAUUAAAAUCAAGGUAAAUGCUGCCCAUUUUGUUACAGAUUAAGUUACUUUUGUUAUAUAAAUGAGAAAGUCAUUCGUAGCUUGACAAUAGCUUCACUGUUGUUGUUGUACAUUAAGGUGAAGUGAGCUAAGUUUAGCAUUGUUAUUGGAUAGAUUUCUAUAAGGUAUGUUAAGGCUAUCCCUUCUUUCCUUUUGGCAUGAUCCAUAUGAUACAAUGAAACGAGCAAACACACAACUUUCACAAAUGACUAUAUUCUUAGAAGUACUAGGGUUGCCUCUGUUCUUGAUUCGUCAUAUGUCCAAUUAUUUUAUUGUCUGUUAAUGGGUCUCAAAAAAUACGUAAGUUGAUAAAGUUUAUUUAAUGAUAUUAACCGAAGGCAUAUUGUCCUUAUGACAUCCCGAGAGAUCUUAUUGACUUACUUUUUAUGCAUUGCAUUCAUUUAUACAUGUACAUUGACCCAUGACCAAACGGCGUUAUAUACACGUAGAUUAUAUGUAUAUGGGAUAUGGGAAAAGGUUAUGGCGUUAUAUACGUACUACCACCUGAUCAGUUGGUAUACGUUGAUGAUUUCGACUACUGAGGCCGAGAUGAUAUGAUGGGAUGCCCUUAGAGGCUUGAUUAUAUUAUGUAUGAAUAUAUAUAUGAAUGGUAUGACAUUUAUACAUAUAUGCAUGACAUUAUAAAUGUUUCAUGAUUCACAGAGCUAUUCAGACGUACAAGUUGAGUCCUUAACUCCAUGUUUCUUUCAUGUCUUCUAUAUACUAAUUUUUAUGUCUUACAUACUCGGUACUUAUUUGUACUUACGCCCUUAUUACCUGGGGGCCUGUGUUUCAUGUAGGUAGACAGGCUGACGGUCCCCCUUCUUUGGAUCCUUGCUCAGUGAGNGUUGGUG
rnacentral:lncRNA from 1 species